AUUGAACGCUGGCGGCAUGCCUUGCACAUGCAAGUCGAACGGCAGCACGGGUGCUUGCCCCUGGUGGCGAGUGGCGAACGGGUGAGUAAUACAUCGGAACAUGUCCUGUAGUGGGGGAUAGCCCGGCGAAAGCCGGAUUAAUACCGCAUACGAUCUACGGAUGACAGCGGGGGACCUUCGGGCCUCGCGCUAUAGGGUUGGCCGAUGGCUGAUUAGCUAGUUGGUGGGGUAAAGGCCUACCAAGGCGACGAUCAGUAGCUGGUCUGAGAGGACGACCAGCCACACUGGGACUGAGACACGGCCCAGACUCCUACGGGAGGCAGCAGUGGGGAAUUUUGGACAAUGGGCGAAAGCCUGAUCCAGCAAUGCCGCGUGUGUGAAGAAGGCCUUCGGGUUGUAAAGCACUUUUGUCCGGAAAGAAAUCCUUGGCCCUAAUACGGUCGGGGGAUGACGGUACCGGAAGAAUAAGCACCGGCUAACUACGUG
rnacentral:rRNA from 1 species